CUUUUACUCGAUACAUCAGACAGUCGAGCGACUGAUUAGAAGCUUGCUUCUAUGACGUUAGCGGCGGACGGGUGAGUAACACGUGGGCAACCUGCCUGUAAGACUGGGAUAACUUCGGGAAACCGAAGCUAAUACCGGAUAGGAUCUUCUCCUUCAUGGGAGAUGAUUGAAAGAUGGUUUCGGCUAUCACUUACAGAUGGGCCCGCGGUGCAUUAGCUAGUUGGUGAGGUAACGGCUCACCAAGGCAACGAUGCAUAGCCGACCUGAGAGGGUGAUCGGCCACACUGGGACUGAGACACGGCCCAGACUCCUACGGGAGGCAGCAGUAGGGAAUCUUCCGCAAUGGACGAAAGUCUGACGGAGCAACGCCGCGUGAGUGAUGAAGGCUUUCGGGUCGUAAAACUCUGUUGUUAGGGAAGAACAAGUACAAGAGUAACUGCUUGUACCUUGACGGUACCUAACCAGAAAGCCACGGCUAACUACGUGCCAGCAGCCGCGGUAAUACGUAGGUGGCAAGCGUUAUCCGGAAUUAUUGGGCGUAAAGCGCGCGCAGGCGGUUUCUUAAGUCUGAUGUGAAAGCCCACGGCUCAACCGUGGAGGGUCAUUGGAAACUGGGGAACUUGAGUGCAGAAGAGAAAAGCGGAAUUCCACGUGUAGCGGUGAAAUGCGUAGAGAUGUGGAGGAACACCAGUGGCGAAAGCGGCUUUUUGGUCUGUAACUGACGCUGAGGCGCGAAAGCGUGGGGAGCAAACAGAUUAGAUACCCUGGUAGUCCACGCCGUAACGAUGAGUGCUAGGUGUAGAGGGUUUCGCCCUUUAUGCUGCAGCUACGCAUAGCACUCGCUGGGGAGUACGGUCGCAGACUGAAACUCAAGAAUUGACGGGGCCGCACAGGCGGUGAAGCAUGUGAUAUCCGAGCUACCGAAACUUACAGGUCUGACUCUCUGACACUCUUAAGAAUAGAGCGUUCCCCUUCCUGAGCA
rnacentral:rRNA from 1 species